rnacentral:rRNA from 1 species
ACCGCAGGCUUCACCCCUUGUGGUGCUCCCCCGCCAAUUCCUUUAGUUUCAUACUUGCGUACGUACUUCCCAGGCGGCAGACUUAAUGGCUUCCCUGCGGCACUGCAUUGGCCACAAGCCAAUGCAUCACCGAGUCUGCAUCGUUUACAGCUGGGACUACCCGGGUAUCUAAUCCGGUUUGCUCCCCCAGCUUUCAUUCCUCACCGUCGAACGUGUUCUGGUACACCGCCUUCGCCACAGGUGGUCUUCAAUAGAUCAAAGGAUUUUACCCCUUCCUAUCGAGUACCGUGUACCUCUCCCACUCCCUAGCUGCACAGUAUUUUCGGCGGCCUAUACGUUAAGCGCAUAGAUUUAACCGAAAACUUAUGCAACCGGCUACGGAUGCUUUAGGCCCAAUAAACCUCCUGACCACUCGAGGUGCUGGUUUUACCGCGGCGGCUGACACCAGAACUUGCCCACCCCUUAUUCACCAGUGAUUCUACAACUGACAAAAGACUCCUUUAGCAGGAGACACUCGGAUUAACCUUGUCGUGCUUUCGCACAUUGCCAAG